CAGGAAGUGGGGCCAGCUCAAGGUGGUGAAGGACAACUGACUCAGGUGAAUAAUUCCCAAGAAGCCCUUCUCUCCGUCAGGUCCCACUUUGUACCUCGGUCCACACACCAGACACCACUUGGCUGCUGUCACCACGGGUGCGUGGGGAAGGGAGCUCCAAGUUUCGAAGGGGUGGCAGGUGACAGAGUUGACAAGUAUAACAUGGUGUGAUGCCUGCUAUUGCGGGCUCCAGGAGCGCUGAGGAUGGGUGUUUAACCCUUAAAGGUCGGAUGGAGAGAUGGCUUUCUGGAUGGGAGCAGCAGGUAAGCCAACCCCUGAACAAUAAUGAGCAUUCGUUUCAUAAAGAGACAGGGU
rnacentral:lncRNA from 1 species